GUGUUGAAUGAAAGGAGAGAAGGUUAUCACUCCCCUUGGCAAGGGUGGAAGAGGCCCUUGGGUCUGACAACACGCAUGCGUUUAAGGCAUUGCCACCUACUUUGUGGCAUCUACCAUCGUUUUCU
ensembl:snRNA